CAUGUGAGCGGAGGGUGCUUGCAUCUAACAAUUCUUUUGUAAACUUAGUGGCGGACGGGUGAGUAACGCGUGGGUAACCUGCCGUAUACAGGGGGGACAACAGUUGGAAAACGACUGCUAAUACCGCAUGAGACCACAAUGUCGCAUGGCAGUAGGGGUCAAAGAUUUAUCGGUAAGAGGUGGGCUCGCGUCUGUAUUAGAUAGUUGGUGGGGUAACGGCCUACAAGUCGACGAUCAGUAGCCGACCUGAGAGGGUGAUCGGCCACAUUGGGACUGAGACACGGCCCAAACUCCUACGGGAGGCAGCAGUGGGGGAUAUUGCACAAUGGGCGAAAGCCUGAUGCAGCAAUGCCGCGUGAGGGAAGAAGGUUUUCGGAUUGUAAACCUCUGUCCUCUGUGAAGAUAAUGACGGUAGCAGAGGAGGAAGCUCCGGCUAACUACGUG
rnacentral:rRNA from 1 species